rnacentral:tRNA from 1 species
GCGUACAUGGCGGAAUUGGUAGACGCGCAAGCUUGAGGGGCUUGUGUCCAAUAGGAUGUGCAGGUUCGACUCCUGUUGUACGCA